UUGUUGGGGAGUGGGAUCGAUUGUACCAAAAGGAUCUUCUUCCACAUCCUUCCUGCUCAAACUUCAUUGAUUGUGACAGGACUGUUACAGAGAGCAUAAAAUCACCCGAAGAUUUUGGUGAGCGUAAGGCAACAUGUUUCGCAUACACCUUUACAAAUGGGGGAAGUAUGGCAAUGUACAGAUUUUUUUUGUUGCACUUUGCACUAAUUAUUUUAAUUGCUGUGGCAUCUUUAUAUGCUUCAAUGGUGUUACUAUUAUCAAUUUAAAAAAAAAUUAAAACAUAAGCCAUUUUAAUGAG